GCCAGACUCCUACGGGAGGCAGCAGUAGGGAAUUUUGCGCAAUGGGGGAAACCCUGACGCAGCAACGCCGCGUGAUUGAUGAAGCCCUUCGGGGUGUAAAGAUCUGUCAGUGGGGACGAAACUUGACGGUACCCACAGAGGAAGCAUCGGCUAACUCCGUGCCAGCAGCCGCGGUAAUACGUAGGGGGCAAGCGUUAUCCGGAAUCACUGGGUGUAAAGGGAGCGUAGACGGCUGUGCAAGCCUGAAGUGAAAGGCGGGGGCCCAACCCCUGGACUGCUUUGGGAACUGUACGGCUGGAGUGCAGGAGAGGUAAGUGGAAUUCCUAGUGUAGCGGUGAAAUGCGUAGAUAUUAGGAGGAACACCAGUGGCGAAGGCGGCUUACUGGACUGUAACUGACGUUGAGGCUCGAAAGCGUGGGGAGCAAACAGGAUUAGAUACCCCGGUACC
rnacentral:rRNA from 1 species